CCCCUCUCAGGGUCACAUCUGGAGAGUUUCCAGUACUCUACCAGUGUCGAUUAUAAGAGGGAGAGUCACGCAGAGGCAUUACCCAUCCCAUUUGUAGCUUGGCCAGUGGCUAGCAAGAGGAAGUCAAUCUGCUACAAGU